GGGCCGUGCAGCUCCUGCCCCGGUUUACUGCUGUUCAGCGCAGGAGGCUGUUAAGGCAGAACUAGUCCUCGGGCCUGCGCUGCUGGCAGGAUGUCUGCACGGUCCCCUGACCCGGACCGAGUGCCAUCAGCCCCCUGCGGGUGAACGCAUAGGAAGUCACCAGCACGCCCAAUGGUAGCGAACGAUUAAAAUAUCUUGUCUGCCCUCCAGUGCCCAUAGCUCUGCUCCCCACAAAGGGCACGGGGGCGGCGGAGGCCAGGCUUUGGCAGAGGUGAAAGUAAGACGGUACCGAGGACUGACUGCUGCCAGCUUGCAUAAACUGCUUCCUUAUGUUCCCAGGAUGUUGCUUCCUUGAACAACUUGAGUAAAGAUGGUGGUAUUGAAGAGACAUCAAGACAUCCCAACGGUACUGAUGGAAUGUUAUCCUCAUAAAUACUGCAUUCCUUUCUUGGCCACCCCAGCUCAAAAAGUGCACAGUAGAAUUGGAAAAAGCCCAAAAAAGGACAACAAAGGUGAUAGAAGCUUCCAGAUAAGGGGAGAUUUUAAAAGAUAAGGACUAUUUACUUUAGAGAGAAGAUAAAUAAGUAAUGCCAUAAUAGAGGUAGAACUGACCACAGUUCUUCCCAGUAUGCUUCCACACUGUGGCCAACUGUCAUGACCUGUCCUUUCCUGGACACACACCUUAUUCAACCCUAGUGUUUCUGGGUCACUAGAACAGCCUUUUGACCCCUCCAAUCUCCUGCUCAGGACCACCUGCCUGUAAAUAUCAAGCGAGCCUGGCUACUUUUCCAAACUCUGUUUCAAAACUUCUGCAGAUCUCUUCAAAACCCACCAACUGACGACGCCUCUAAACUCUUGGAUUUGAGAAAACACUACACUUUUAUUUAACCCAAAAAUUGUCAUUUACUGAUCUGAAGGAACAGGGCUGCCUUUCAGCAGACACUAGGAGGUGUGCAGCAGUGUAUCUGGAGAAUACAGGAUUGAGAGCAGAUGGUUGUGGGGAAAGAAGAAAAUCCAGCAUCCUUUCUCACUGGGUUCUGUGCUGAAGAUCUGGGCAGUGAACAUUUUUCUCCUUUCUCUCCUUUACCCCUGGAUACCUCCUUAUGCUUUCCAUAUUAAUAGUGGCAAUUUCUGAGUUGAGUACUUAGCUUUACACAGUAGUGUUCAUACAGGGGCGGCUCCUGGCACCAGCACGCCAAGCGCGUGCCUGGGGCGGCAAGCCAAGGAGGGAGCUCUGCCGGUCGCUGUGAGGGCGGCAAGCAGGUUGCCUUCAGCGGCAUGUCUGAGGAGGGUCUGCUGGUCCCGUGGCUUCGGCGGACCUCCUGCAGGCGUGCCACCAAAUCUGUGGGACCAGGGACCUCCUGCAGACAAGCCGCUGAAGGCAACCUGCCUGCCGUGCUUGGGGUGGCAAAAUACCUAGAGCCGCUCCUGCGUUCAUACCAUUGACAUUGGUGGAGUUGUACCUGACUUGGGAACUAGGCCCACUGGGUUGAGAGGGAAGAUUUUAUUUUAUAGCGGAAUACUCUCUUGGGGAGCUCCUUCUAGAUACUUGUCAACUGAAUUGCUUUACAAAGGUUGCAGGGCAUCUAUAGAUUUUAGAUGGAUGCUUGUUUAUUAAUAAGUUGAAAGAAUCAAAAUAACACUUUGGAUAGCUAUGUAGUAAAUGGAACUAUAUGGAAAAAAUGAUGGUACAAGCAGAAACAGAAACUAUCUUUCUACAUGCACUGGAAGUCAGCUGCACUGCAAGUUCCCUGCUUUACAUUCAGGGGCAGCGAGUUAUAUGGGCCUGUGGUGCCCAGGCUUCAGCAAUAUUCAGGGCACAGAGGGCCGGCUCCACCAAUGUUUGGGGCCGGGUCUCUCCCGCGCUCCUCUUCUGAGCAUCCCUGCCUGUGCCCUGGGCAGCGAGUGGCUGCCCCCUGCAGCUCCGCACUGCGCUUUGCUCUGCCAGCUCCUAGCAUCAACUGCUGCCACAGGGUCCUAGCACCCCCCCCAAACAAAUAGUGCCAGGGCAGGCUGACCCUCCCUGACCUUCUGCCUUGGAUGGAUGGACCCUUCCCUUUUCCGGUGCAACUCUCCACCAGCAUGGGAUUCCCGCCCCCCACAGUCACCGCUCCUGCUAGGCAAGGGGCAGCCCAUCCCCCACGCCCUGUGAGGCUACUGUGAAGGGGAGCAGCAGGGGAGGAGGUCACAUAUGAUGGCAGCCCCACUCCGCACCCACCACAGGGGAGAUGAGGGGGCUUCCUGGACCUGAGAGGGGCCCUAUGAGCGCAUGCAGUGACAGUGGUGCGAAGUGAGUCUACUGCCGGGGGGGGACCUUCCCCAGAGCUCACUGCUGCUGGCAGGGAGACGGAUGGGGGGAGUCCCCCUCUCUGGCCCCAGCUGGGAGUAGCCUGCCUGCACCCCAAACUCCUCAUCCAUGGCCUUGCCCCACCCCAGAGCCCACACCCCCAACCAGAGUCUUCACCCCUCCUGCAUCCCAACCCUCUGCCCCAGCCCUGAGCACCCUCUUCCAGCAUGAACCUCUCAUCCCCAGCCUCAUCCCAAAGCCCUCAUAUUUUUA